AUUGAACGCUGGCGGCAGGCCUAACACAUGCAAGUCGAGCGGAUGAAGGGAGCUUGCUCCUGGAUUCAGCGGCGGACGGGUGAGUAAUGCCUAGGAAUCUGCCUGGUAGUGGGGGAUAACGUCCGGAAACGGGCGCUAAUACCGCAUACGUCCUGAGGGAGAAAGUGGGGGAUGUUCGGACCUCACGCUAUCAGAUGAGCCUAGGUCGGAUUAGCUAGUUGGUGGGGUAAAGGCCUACCAAGGCGACGAUCCGUAACUGGCCUGAGAGGAUGAUCAGUCACACUGGAACUGGGACACGGUCCAGACUCCUAAGGGAGGCAGCAGUGGGGAAUAUUGGACAAUGGGCGAAAGCCUGAUCCAGCCAUGCCGCGUGUGUGAAGAAGGUCUUCGGAUUGUAAAGCACUUUAAGUUGGGAGGAAGGGCAGUAAGUUAAUACCUUGCUGUUUUGACGUUACCAACAGAAUAAGCACCGGCUAACUUCGUG
rnacentral:rRNA from 1 species